GCUAAGACAGUCAGGAAGUUGGCUUAGAAGCAGCCAUCCUUUAAAGAAAGCGUAAUAGCUCACUGAUCGAGUCUUUCUGCGCGGAAGAUGUAACGGGGCUAAGCAAGUAACCGAAGCCGCGGAUUCAUACGUAAGUAUGAGUGGUAGGGGAGCGUUCUGUAAGCCUGCGAAGGUGUGUUGAGAGGACUGCUGGAGGUAUCAGAAGUGCGAAUGCUGACAUGAGUAACGUUAAAGCGGGUGAAAAGCCCGCUCGCCGUAAGCCCAAGGUUUCCUGCUCUACGUUCAUCGGAGCAGGGUGAGUCGGCCCCUAAGGCCAGGCUGAGAAGCGUAGUCGAUGGGAACAAGGUUAAUAUUCCUAGACCAUUGUCAAGUAUGCGAUGGGGGGACGGAGUGUGAAAGAUGAUCCGGGUGUUGGAUAUCCCGGUUUGUGAGAGUAGAAGGAAGGCAGGCAAAUCCGCCUUCGGAUCUUCGAGUCAAAACAUCGAUUCUCCACGUGAGAAGAAGUCAUCGGAAGUGCUUCCAAGAAAAGCCUCUAAGUGGUAGCUUGACAAGACCGUACCGCAAACCGACACUGGUGGGCGAGUUGAAUAUACUAAGGCGCUUGAGAGAACUCGGGAGAAGGAACUCGGCAAAUUGACACCGUAACUUCGGAAGAAGGUGUGCCUUUAUAGCGUGAGAGAAGAAACAUCUUAAGCGUGAAGAGGCCUCAGAGAAUAGGUGGCUGCAACUGUUUACUAAAAACAUAGCACUCUGCAAAGAUGAAAGUCGACGUAUAGGGUGUGAUGCCUGCCCGGUGCUGGAAGAUUAAUUGAUGGGGUGCAAGCUCCUGAUCGAAGUCCCAGUAAACGGCGGCCGUAACUAUAACGGUCCUAAGGUAGCGAAAUUCCUUGUCGGGUAAGUUCCGACCUGCACGAAUGGCAUAAUGAUGGCCACACUGUCUCCUCCCGAGACUCAGUGAAGUUGAAGUGUUUGUGAUGAUGCAAUCUCCCCGCGGCUAGACGGAAAGACCCCAUGAACCUUUACUGUAGCUUUACAUUGGACUGUGAACCGAUUUGUGUAGGAUAGGUGGGAGGCAGUGAAACUCGGACGCCAGUUUGAGCGGAGCCAUCCUUGAAAUACCACCCUGAUUUGUUUGCGGUUCUAACCUCGGCCCAUGAUCUGGGCUAGGGACCGUGUAUGGUAGGCAGUUUGACUGGGGCGGUCUCCU
rnacentral:rRNA from 1 species